AUAUCCUGCCCUUAUCUUUUAACAAGCUCUUCCACAUCCCUGAUUCACAGCAUCUGCAUUCUUUCCAUAUGACUCACCAUCCCAUGAGCCCCUUCCUCUCACACAGCAGUAUGCUGUUAUCAUAUAGAGUAUAAACUUAAUAUUAUAGCAUAGCUUCUUUGUUAUAUUAUAUAGGUUAUGCAAACAAAUAGUUGGUCAAACCCUAACACCUUGCAGAGCAAGGGAAACAACUACUUCAAGGUCUCAGAGCAAGUGACGUCACCAAUUGAAACGGUAUUAGCACGCACCGCUAACUAGCUUGCCAUUUCACACCAGUUACACUUGGCAGUCAUCUCGGUUUUCUUUCUUGUUUGUAUCAAUUGCAAAGUGUGUGUGCGCGUGUGCAUGUGUGAGUGAGAGAGAGUGAGGCAGGCGUUUUCAAGUGAAAAGUUAAUAACAAUGAUUUUGGGAAACAGCUCAGAGAUUUAACGAUGCUCCUACGAAGGUUCUAACGAGGAACUUAGCCUUAAGAUGCUUUUGGGAAACUGGGCCCAGGUGAGGAGCAUAAAGUGACUCUGAAGUUUGAGGAGGAAUGGGGGAGUUCGAACUAUGAAUCCGAUUAGGUUGACUGUGAUAAAAGAUUUGAUUGGGGAAGUUGUCAAUGCUAAAGUGUUAAGAAAUGGGAGCUGUGAGUAGGCAGGGCAAACCCAUUGAGCUGUUGAAACUACUACAACUAAAAAAAAACAUGGUAAUCAGAGAUUUUUACAUCACUGUUUAGAGGACACCCUGCAGAACACAGUCAGCUACAUUUUGGAAUGUUGCAUUUUGAUAUGAGGGUCACGAGAAAACAGAAGAAACCUGAACACUGCUCUUGCUUGUAUCACUGCUCUUUAUUAAGCUAACGUAUCGGCCUCAAGUUCUUCGUCAGAUAUUGGUUUACUUUAGGUAAUAUAUGUGAUGUCACGAUAAAAUGUGUUAAUAUUUGUACGAAAACAGCAUUUAACAGUUAGCUAGCUUGAUGCUAACCAAAUUUAGCUUGGCUAAGCACUAGUUAGCUCUUGGCUAGUUGGUUUCAGUCAAUGUUAGCUUACAUGUUAGUGGUUAAUAAUGUAAUGGUUGUAGCAUUGUUUCGCAUAGACCUUCAGUAAUUUAUAGUUAAAAAAAAAAAAUGACACUGAUAGUACAGAGAGUUAUAUAUAAUGUGAAUGUGUAGAUGUAUAGUGACGCCAUGGGCAAGUCCCUUGACAGGUACGAGGAAUGAUGGGAGGACAAUAUGAAGGUAAUUAUCUUUCCACACAACAGCAGCGUCCAGGCCUCCAGAGUACUCACCCUAUCGCCAGCUGUAUGGACGGGAGCCGCAGCUGUUUACUGAGAUCACUGAAACUCCACCUGAUGUGGUGGAAGUUGUCGAACCAGAUCAGAACGCCUUCGAGGACCACCGUCAGGCACAGACUGAAGGAUGUGGAGGUUUCUGACUAGGUGAGACUGAACAAAGACAAGGCGCAGGAGAAACAGAAGAGCCACUGGAGGAGAAUCAAGGGGACCAAGUGCUUCGACAUCCGGGCGAAUGACUUGGCUUGGAAGAAGGACAAAAGGAAGGCGAGACCUGGGAAAUAUUGCUGCUCUUUCGCUCCUAGCUGGGGUCACCAUCCGUUGAGGUGGAUAUAAAAAUCUCAGAUGAUAACUAUUUGUAUUUGCCACCUCGUGAUGGGCAGCAUCGCCAUGCUGUCAGCAGUACCAACUCUGGCCCAGGGGUUUCUCCAAAUAGUCAAUCUCAAGGUUAACCACUGGGUCACAUUAAGUAACCGCCGCUUCCAGGUAGGUAUAGUUAAGGUGUAUGACUCCAGUGGUUAUGACACCACCCCGGGAGUUUCUCACAACUCAUAUUUUCCAGGGACCAUCCCUUACCUCCCUCAUCAACCUCACUAACAAAAAAUGACAUACAGGUAUCCUUUCUUUUCUGUCUGUCAUUAACAUUAUUUAAUGUCUAAACAAACAUUUAAAUUAACUGUAUUAUUACAUACCUGAUAAAUCUGUAACCUGUUUUUGCUUGUUUACGUCUGUCUCCUACCCUGUUCUCUUUACUCUGCUCCUGUUCUCCAGGAGCUAGGGGUUCUGCCCAACAUCCAGACCCACCUGAUGUCCUCCAUUACCUGUUCUCCAGGACCUAGGGGUUCUGCCCAACAUCCAGACCCACCUGAUGUCCUCCAUUACCUGUUCUCCAGGACCUAGGGGUUCUGCCCAACAUCCAUACCCACCUGAUGUCCUCCAUUACCUGUUCUCCAGGACCUAGGGGUUCUGCCCAACAUCCAGACCCACCUGAUGUCCUCCAUUACCUGUUCUCCAGGACCUAGGGGUUCUGCCCAACAUCCAGACCCACCUGAUGUCCUCCAUUACCUGUUCUCCAGGACCUAGGGGUUCUGCCCAACAUCCAGAUCCACCUGAUGUCCUCCAUUACCUGUUCUCCAGGACCUAGGGGUUCUGCCCAACAUCCAGACCCACCUGAUGACCUCCAUUAUCAACCACCCUCCAACUUUUCAUUAUAUCAGCUACUGUUAUUGUCAUGUUGUCAUUAUUUGCUAAGAAAGAGCAAGAAAACUAUCAGACUUGGCACAUAAUGUGAGAUGCACAGAUUAGCUAAAAACACUAGCACUGCAAACACUCAGAACAAAGAGAGCAGCAGUGCCUGGACUUUUGCAGUCUCCCUCUUCGAGCCCCCUUCCGAGACUGACUGCCUGUUGAAAACAAGUGACCGGCAGAACCUCCCAUCCACACAGCACCCACCUCCUCUCUAUUCCACACACCAUAAUUCAGUUUUUCAGUCUUUGAUGGCCAUGUGAGUAUGCAAAAAAAUCUGUGAAAGUAAAUUGACAGAAAUGUACCAAAAAAUAUCAACGUUUAUAUAUUUAAAUCUAAAAUAUUGUUUUUCACAGCUGUUUCAUAAAGUGUUCAUUAUUGUAAAUUGUAACGUAUCCCUUGAUGGUAUUUGUUAGUUCAACAUGAAUUAUUGUUGUAUCAUAGGACAUACAAUAGAUAUAUAUUCAACCACAAGGAUGUACUAAUGAGCUAUGGUUUUAUUAAAAUGUAUAAAAUUAUUAAAAUAUUAUUUCAGUGUAGAUAAGGGAAGGUCUGUUUAAAAUGAAAACAUGCCAGCUAGACAAGCCAGUGUAUUAAUCAAAUGUGCAUAUGAAUGGAGUGGAAAUUAGCUGACUUUGUGAUCUGUAAGGAAAGCAACGAUAAUGUGUGGGGGGGCAUCGAAAUGAUAUUAUUUAUCCCCGAUAACUGUUUAUUCAUUAAAAAAAAACAAUCACAA